rnacentral:rRNA from 1 species
UACGUAGGGGGCAAGCGUUGUCCGGAAUCAUUGGGCGUAAAGAGCGUGUAGGCGGCCCGAUAAGUCCGCCGUGAAAGUCCAGGGCUCAACCCUGGAAUGCCGGUGGAAACUGUCGGGCUGGAGUCCGGAAGAGGCGAGUGGAAUCCUGGUGUAGCGGUGAAAUGCGCAGAUAUCAGGAGGAACACCAAUGGCGAAGGCAGCACUCUGGGACGUGACUGGACGCUGAGACGCGAAAGCGUGGGGAGCAAACAGG